rnacentral:rRNA from 1 species
CAGCACCUCAAGUGGUCAGGAUGAUUAUUGGGCCUAAAGCAUCCGUAGCCGGCGCUGUAAGUUUUCGGUUAAAUCUGUACGCUCAACGUACAGGCUGCCGGGAAUACUGCAGAGCUAGGGAGUGGGAGAGGUAGACGGUACUCGGUAGGAAGGGGUAAAAUCCUUUGAUCUAUUGAUGACCACCUGUGGCGAAGGCGGUCUACCAGAACACGUCCGUCGGUGAGGGAUGAAAGCUGGGGGAGCAAACCGGAUUAGAUACCCGAGUAGUCC